CAUGCACUGGUGGGGUCCCUUGGCCUGGCCUGUGGGGAUCAGGUCGAAACUGGCUCUCCCACAGUCCCGGAUUGUGAGAGGGCACAGGCCAGGCCAAGGGACCCUACCAGUGCAUG
rfam:Myotis lucifugus cont2.15210, whole genome shotgun sequence.